rnacentral:rRNA from 1 species
UGCGUAGGCGGGUCUUUAAGUCAGGGGUGAAAUCCUGGAGCUCAACUCCAGAACUGCCUUUGAUACUGAGGAUCUUGAGUACGGGAGAGGUGAGUGGAACUGCGAGUGUAGAGGUGAAAUUCGUAGAUAUUCGCAAGAACACCAGUGGCGAAGGCGGCUCACUGGCCCGUUACUGACGCUGAGGCACGAAAGCUGGGGAGCAAACA